GACAGAGGAGCCAAGCGUUGUCCGGAUUGACUGGGCGUAAAGCGCACGCAGGCGGAUGCGCGCGUGGGGUGUGAAAUCUGGCCGCUUAACGGCCAGGCGCCAUCCCAUACGGCGCGUCUGGAGUGAUGCAGAGGUCGAUGGAAUUGCCGGUGUAGUGGUGAAAUGCGUAGAGAUCGGGCAGGAACACCCAGGGGGAAACCAGUGGAACUGGGCAUCUACUGACGCUGAGGUGCGAGAGCGUGGGGAGCGAACCGG
rnacentral:rRNA from 1 species